rnacentral:miRNA from 15 species
AAGCCCUUUUUCUGGUAGUUGAG